rnacentral:ncRNA from 1 species
AAAAGGUUUUUUUAUGGCCUGAAAGUUAGGUUAAAUCUCGUCUUACAUGUAAAUUUUAAUGGGAAUUUUUUUUUAUUUUUAUAAUAAUUAAUUUAUAUUAUUCGCAGUAGGGGAAUUUAAAUAUUAGUUUAAGCUAGAUUUGGGGGUGAUUUUUUUUGUUAACAAAGCUUGUGCCAGCAGUUGCGGUUAUACAAGCAACAUUCUUAAUUUUUUCGGAGUUCAGUAAUUUGUUGAAAAAGGUUUUUAUUAGAAUUUAUAAGGUGAAAUUUUAAUUUUUAUUUUAAAUCUGUUUAUAAAAUUUAAGCUGAGAAAUUUUUAUUUAAACUAGGAUUAGAUACCCUAUUAUUUAAAAUGUAAAUUUUUAUUCUAAAAUAGUAUUAGUUAUUUUCUUGAAAAUUAAAUAAUUUGGCGGUAUUUUAGUCCAUUCAGAGGAACCUGUCCUGUAAUUGAUGAUCCACGAUAAUAUAUACUUUUUUUUUUAGUUUACAUAUCGUCGUAGUUGAAUAUUUUUUAAGAAUUUAAAUAUUCUUGACUUUUUUAAAAAAGUAAAUCAGAUCAAGGUGUAGCUUAUAAAUGAGUAAGUGAUGGGUUACAUUAAAUUUAUUUGGCGAUUGGUUAAUUUAUUUAAUUAUGAAUUUGGAUUUGAUAGUAAUUUUAUUUAUUUUUUUAAUAUGAUAGUGGCUCUAAAAUAUGUACAUAUCGCCCGUCGCUUUCACUUUAAGGUGGAAUAAGUCGUAACAAAGUAGGCUUACCGGAAGGUGUGCCUGGAAAG